rnacentral:tRNA from 1 species
GGGUGAUUAGCUCAGUUGGGAGAGCACCCCUGGGGCGAGGGGGGUUCCGGCGGUCGAUCCCGUCAUCACCCACCA